rnacentral:rRNA from 1 species
UACAGAGGUCCCGAGCGUUGUUCGGAUUCACUGGGCGUAAAGAGCGCGCAGGCGGUCGAUCAAGUCGAGUGUGAAAGCCCCCGGCUCAACUGGGGAGGGUCAUUCGAUACUGAUCGACUCGAAGGCAGGAGAGGGUAGUGGAAUUCCCGGUGUAGUGGUGAAAUGCGUAGAUAUCGGGAGGAACACCAGUGGCGAAGGCGACUACCUGGCCUGUUCUUGACGCUGAGGCGCGAAAGCUAGGGGAGCAAACGGGG